ensembl:lncRNA
CCGAACCCGAAUGCACACAGUGCCGCAGGUGCUCGACUGGAGCAGCUUUGUCUCCAGGAAACCCUGGCCCGGGCAGGACGCAGAGCUUUUCAUCCUCCGAAGCUUCCUCUCGCCCCUUUGCAGGAUUUGAAACAGCUCAACUGGAAUUCCGUCACCUCCACCAGCUUUGUUCGUAGCGAUGCUCUCCAAGGCCCACUUGACCUCACAUUCCAGGAUAUGAAAGAACAGUUCCCUAGGGACACAUGUUGUUGUGACCCCAUGGACUUCGGCGCUCCAGCCUGCACGGUCGCCUGGCGUUUGCUCAGAUUCGUGUCCACCGAGUCGGCGAUGCCACGUACACUAGCUGCCUGCCAAGCGCUCGGCAGUCCUGUGAGCCAGUGUGUGCUGCGCCAGACAGUGUAGGGCUGCUGCUGCUAAGUCACUUCAGUCGUGUUCGACUCUGUGCGACCCCAUAGACGGCAGCCCACCAGGCUCCCCCGUCCCUGGGAUUCUCCAGGCAAGAACACUGGAGAAUGGAG